rnacentral:lncRNA from 1 species
GGCUCGGCUUCUCCUCUCUACUACGUUCGUCGAUCUCCGCCGUGUUCGAGGUCAAUUGGAGGAUACUGUUUAUGCUGUUUCCGCUACUAAUUAUGGUCUAUUUGCGGCUAGUUUCAACUUUCGGGAUGGCGGUUUGUGGAAGGUUGCGCUGUUUAAAGCGAAGGAGAGCUUGUUUCUUAGUAACUUCUAUGGAUUGUUGUCUCACGCUCGUCUCUCUGCUAUUGGACCUAGAAUUUACCUAAUUGGCCGAAAUGCGAUGUUUCUGUAUGAUACUUGGUCUGGAAUGGUCACAGCUAGAUCUGCAAUGAAUUUCUCCAGGAAGAAAUUCGCCAAUGCGGUGAUUUCCGGUAGAAUCUACGUCGCUGGCGGUGCUCCAACAACG